rnacentral:lncRNA from 1 species
GGCAGGUCUGGGCUUUACGCGCUGAAUGAUAUACCCUAAUGGCUUUGUCCUUGUUCGAUCGAGCCAUAGAAUUUAUUGCUAAAUAUACAAGCUGACAUUUUUUUCAGUCUUUGAAAGACUACAAGUCGUGUGGGGUGGUGCUUUGUGCUCCGGCCCUGUCCUUCCCCCAAGGCAGGCUCCUUUGAAAGGGAAGCGGACACUAACAGCACAAUCCUUUGGGCAAAAGUAAAAGAACUGACCAGACCACAAAAACUUCAAGUGAUUCCUCUCAUCAACACAAAUUCGAAGACUGAGCUUUUUUUAUUGCUACAUGGUGACAUUCAACCAUACAUGUUUCAACCGGUAUAUAGCGAAGAGGAUUCAGAACAAAGCAUUGAAUUUAGCUCGAUGCUCAGCCAAUGCCAGCACCAAGAGAGUAGAUUACAAAUAUUGUGGCUAGCUAAACAAUACUGUGUAGUGUCUGGGCUUCUUUCUUGAGUGGAUUCUUGGAGAGAAACAGAAUUCCUUUGCCUGCAUGUGUCAUUGUAGCAGAACUGUAUCCCAUGAACUGAAUCUUUCGAUGGAUUGGACAUUAUGCUGGAUUUCAAGCAGAAGAUGACUCAAGAUGAGCUGAAUGUCAGUCUGAUCAUGACAACAUUCCUCCCACAGCUGUGCAAGUGUUCCCUGAACUUACUGUAUGUUUAUUUGGAAUGGCAAUUUCAUAAUGACCACCUCUCCCAGCAUCUGCUGAUCACCAGUUCUCUUAGCUAGAUUGUUACACCAGAUAAUGUGAUUUAACAAGUUUUUUUGUAUGUUAGUUUUACCAUAUAACAUUGUUGAAUACCCAGUUCUCUUUGAGUUAGUAUUAAAUAUUGUACACUCCCCUGUAUUUUAGAUUUGGACAUAAUUAUUUUUAAUAUAUCUGUAUGUCUAACAUCUGUUUGAUGCUGCAGAACCCCGUACAACUUAUAUAAAUAUAUUCUGUGAAUCCAUAAAGGCAGACAAAUUUUGACUGAUUGAAAAUAUCCAUAUUUAAUGGUUCCUUUAUCCGGCUUCAGUACACUGGCAAUUGUGUUUGGCAUGGUGGGCUGUGGAAGCAGAGUGCUUGUGGCGAAUGGUCUUGUCUCGUCUUUGGUGUACAGUGUUACGAACCACUUUGGCCCUGCAGUCUAGGGGGGAUGGAAACAAAACCCGUUACAUAUCUCAUGCAAAUCAUAACAGUGAAAGGAACAGUGAGAACUAAAAGAAAGACAGACAACUUAAACCUACCGUCAAACACUUCAGGUUUAAUUUUAAACACACGGUAAUGGGGUGUGGGAAAAAGGGGCUGAGCUGGACCCAAGGAAAGAAAUAAAUAUCCAAAAACCCCUAAGCUAG